rfam:Triticum urartu cultivar G1812 contig293860, whole genome shotgun sequence.
UACAUAAUCCCUCCGUGCGAAAAAGCUUGUCCCUCAAAUGAAUGUAUCUAGCAUCAAUUUAGUGCUAGAUACAUCCAUUUGAGAGACAAGCUUUGGACAAGUUUUUUCGGACGGAGGGAGUAUCAA